AGGUCAUCGAGCGAAUGAAUCCAGAAAUGAAGCCCUAGUGUUAAUAUACAUUUCACGCUGUUAGUGUAUCAAUGAUGGUUGUUAAUAGUACAAAUGUUGAUGAAUUUUAAUUUAACUAAAUUAACUCCCCCCCGUUAACCCGCAGAAAACGUUAAGUAAACUAGAAAAACCAGCGAUAAAUAUUGCGCAAAACUUAUACUGGGAAAUAAGUGGACCUUGGAUAAAAACGAAGUGGGACAACAUUGGUAUAUGUUAAGCUAUUUUAAAAUGGCCAAUAUAAAACAUUAAUGGUGCCUCGAAGACGCAAAGAAUAACAGUGACCCAUGUCUACCAUAUACUAGUAAUAUUGCAAAAACUAGAAUCAAAUGUAUUAUUGUGUUAGUGUAUUCUUUUAUGUGGUCUAAGAAAUACAAGAAGUAUUGAUUUUAUAAUACAUUGCAAUGCCAGAUAUGGAAAAACUUUCAACUGAAAAAUUAUAAAAGAUUGUCAAAGGGAGUGGUCUUUUACGGAACGUCUUUAGUUACAUGAUUAAAUACAACUUUUUUUUCAUUUAGUGAUUUCACAUAUCAAAGAGAAGACGGGAAACAAUAGCGCUUUAGCAGACAGGAAUCUAGUGAUACUAUGGUGCAGCAACAAAAUCAUUGGGACAAGUUGAUUGUAUCGAAUUUCCAUACUAUUGGGCACAUAACUCUUUCGGCUACCGAAAAAAUUAUGAGCCAAAAAAUGACCAUUAAGACAAAAAAAUCGAUUAGAUUUGUGUUCGAACAAAAAAUUUUUUUUAGCAAUCUCUAGAAAAAUUUUAGAUCCGUUCUUGCACUUCAAAGCUAAUUUCUGAAUAUGUUCCUAAUACAAGAAUUUUAUGAAAUUGAUAAAAAAUAAUAUUGACUCAUGAGAUCAAUUAUAAAACAGUGAUUGAUGUUUUUUUAAUCGUUAUUGUUAUUGAAAAUUCAAUAAACACUUAAAAUCA